UCUCCGUUGGUGAACCUGCGGAAGGAUCAUUAUUGUAUAACCGAGGUGCGAGGGCUGUCGCUGACCCGAAAGGUCGUGCACGCCCGAGUGCCCUCACACACAUCCAUCUCACCCCUAUGUGCACCACCGCGUGGGUCCCCCUUUGGCUUGUUCGGAGGGGGGCUUACGUUUUCACACAAACUUUGUAUGCAGUGUAGAAUGUAUUUUUUGUUUUUGCGAUCACGCAAUCAAUACAACUUUCAACAACGGAUCUCUUGGCUCUC
rnacentral:misc_RNA from 1 species